UACUGACUGCAUAAAGGCAAAUCCCGACAGAAAGGCAAAAAAUGAAUUUUCCCCCAGCGGGAAAUGGAAGUUCUUGUAGGGGAGACUGAUGCAAGAAAAACAAUAUUGUUUGGUGGACACAAUGUGGGCAUUACAAAUACCAGAAAGGCGUUAGCGUCCAACCACAUACUGCCACUCUGUAUGCUGCUGGCUCAGAAGGUCGGAACCUCUCAGAAAAAGUGGUCCGACAUAAACGUGGAGGCCAAAAGGCGCAUAGCCUUACACAGACAAAGUGUUGGUGCCAUUGGGCGGGGAAUGGGGACACCGGAAAUCAAGCGACUUGCUGUGUUCUAGGGGAAUCGCUCCUGAGUGGAGUAGUGACGGAGAGGGACACGGAUAUACACGACACACCGGAAGAUCCAGUUGCUGCGUGUUCCAGCGGAGUCGGUGGUGCUGCAGCUGAGCUGAGUGCGCCCAGCCCCGGGGUCUCCACUGCACCUCACAAUGCUCCAGCGACCGUCUCCUCACAUAUGCAAUCCUACAAAUGCAAAGAGACACCAUCGACGCUAUCAACGAGGUUGCCAAGGAGUUGAAGUGGGACAGUCAUGGCUUGUUUUCUGCAGGUGCUUCUCUGUGAAGCUGGGUCCACUACAGCACAGAGAUCCAAGAGAACAGCUAUUGGUAAUCGAAACUGGUUCAUAAGCCACUCAUCAUUGGCCAGUAAAUCUAGCUGGUCUCUGAAUUCUCUCUCCGAAUUCUUCUAUUCGCCAAAUCUUCCAACCGUGCCAAAGCAGCAACUGUGCUCCAUUACGUAUCGGUAUUGCGUGCCUUUUUAUACCCACCCAUUUGAUUGUCAAAACGUACCAAUUGCGUAACACCUUCAGGUGUGGUAAAUACCCUGAUUGUAACUGACAAUGACAGGGCCAUUAUCACAUUGACAGUUCUGCGCAACGAACAUGAGAACAAUAAAUGAAACUGUGCACUCCUAUCUGCCCGACUGAGGCAUCGAAAACGACAUCAGUUUUAAACGUAAUUUGUCCUACCAUUCACCUUAUAUUUUAUGAGAAUACAUUUCAUAACAUGUAAGUAUUGUUUUAAUAAUUACAGAUCCAAUUAAAUAUGAUUCCCGAUCAAACUACAACAUAUUUGAGGGGUUAUUUUGUAAAAACAUAUCUCCGUUUGUAUUGAUUAUCCUAAAUCAUGUUUUCUUUAGUGUGCACUCAAGGGAACUCUUCAUAUAUAAUACAAGAGAGGUAAUAUUUCGAUUUAUUUUAGACAAUUAGUAUCAAUUUCAAAGCUUUUCUCAAGUUUCAUCCUUCUGCCAUCGGACUCCGUUUCUAAUUUCUCCAGUUUAUGUGCGUAAGUACGGGUCAAAGUGUCCGUGGAGGACCGCACAUUCUCCCAUCACGUUAGUAUUUUAGAAAUCCCAAAGUUGUCUUAGAAAGUGGCAUAAGCCUUUUGUGCCUACUCAACGCUUAUAAAUGAGGCCCCUGGGCCUUAUUGACAUAGGUGGUGUGCUUGCAUAACUGCAAGGGUUGCUGGUUUAAUGCCUGGUCGCUUGGCUGUUGCCCUCUAAUAGCUCAAAUCAGUUUUGAACUGGCUAUUAAAGUAUGUGUAGAAUUUACCAUGGAUAGUCAAAAGUAAUUGUAUGCCGUUUUCAGACGUUGAGUAGCUCAAUUGAUUGUGACAGUCUUACAUUGUAAAAUAAGACUCCAUUUCCAUUGAAAGUAAAGUAAAAGAUAACCAUUUUAAGUCAUUGACUUUUGAAGGUUGUAUAAAUCG